UACGUAGGGGGCAAGCGUUGUCCGGAUUUAUUGGGCGUAAAGAGCGUGUAGGCGGUUUUACAAGUCCGCUGUGAAAACUCGAGGCUCAACCUCGAGCUGUCGGUGGAAACCGUAAGGCUAGAGUCCGGAAGAGGAGAGUGGAAUUCCUGGUGUAGCGGUGAAAUGCGCAGAUAUCAGGAAGAACACCCGUGGCGAAGGCGGCUCUCUGGGACGGUACUGACACUGAGACGCGAAAGCGUGGGGAGCGAACAGG
rnacentral:rRNA from 1 species